AAGUCUAUUUUUGUGUCCCUCAUGGGUGUGACCAUACUCAAUUUGCUACGUCUUGCUGUAUUUUUCUAUUUGGGUCUGGAGGUCUCUCCCUGCAGAGUGGCUAUAAAUUCUAGCCCUAUCCAGAACAGGAGACUUACAUCAUGGUCAAGUGAGAUAUAAUAUAGGAGACAGCAGAAAAAACACAUGAAAUAGCAGAAACAUUUAUGGGGCUGUAGCUCGGGCAGAGCGCUUGCCUAGCAUGUGUGAGGCAAUGGGUUUGAUCCUCAGCACCACAUAAAAAUAUAUAAAUAAAGUCAUUCUGUCUGAGUAUAACUACAGGGAAAAAAAAUUAAAAACAAAAAGCUGCCCCUAAGAGCCUUGGAGAAGUACAGAAACAAUAGAGUUCUCAAUAGUGGGGUAGGGAUUGAGAGAGAAAGGACAUUUGGAACUCUGCUUUAUUAAGGUCUGUGGGCAUUGUCCUUCAGACUUUCCCGCUGAGGUUGUGGAUUGACUAAUGUAGAGAAAAUACCAUUUGAAGAUUGACUUUCUUAAGUCACUCUGGUGUUAGCAGCUUGAUGUGUUGCUUUUUUCAUCAGUUGAAGGAAGAGACCAUGUAGUCAAUGACAACACAGGGGAGAAGCUUUAACUAGGCCAAAGGUGGCAGGAAUGAUUUGGGAACGCCUUCACCAUACAAGGGGGUGGUCUACUGCUGAACCAUAUCCCAGCCCUUUUUUAUUUGAGACAGGGUCUUACGCCUCAAUUUUGUGAUCCUUCUGCAUAAGCUUCCUGAGUAGUUCAGAUUAUAGAUGUGUGCCGUCAUGCCCAGCAUGACUAGAUUUCAAAUAGCUUUUCUGAAGAUAUAAAGGGAUGCUAAGGUAGCGAGUAGAUGAAGUUUAUGACACCCUUUAUAUUCAAGCAUAACAUCUGUUAUUGUACAUACGAAAAUAUGGUUUUAAGUUAAAUUUAAAAUGAAAAUAUGGUCUUUUAUUCCAUAGCAGGUAUUGAAAAUGAAAUUGGAGCUGAGAUAAAUUGAUG
rnacentral:lncRNA from 1 species